AUGCUAACACAUCGCCCCCACGGCAACUUCCAAACACGAGCACACCGCGGCGGCGGCUGCCGCCGUGGCACCCGGAUUUCACGGGCCCGUAUCGGCUGCCGGAGACCGAGUACCAUCCUUCUGAGCUUCAGCCACCGGCGCACCGACGGCCGACGAGCGAGGAUGCAUCUGACUCCGCGAGCACGAAAAAGAUCAAGUCCAGGGCACCGGGAGUCAGAUCCUGAGAUGUCUUCACAGGGGGACCCGGGCUCAGGCUCAGGCUCAGGCUCAGACUCGUCGGCGCACAGCUCCCCGGCGCGUGAGCCGGAGAUGCCGCUCGUACCAAUCUGGAGGAACUCCAAGGGGAAGUUGGUCUACGGCUUCACUGACGACAAGGCCGCCGUGGCCAAAUAUCACCAGGAUUUACAAAAGUAUGAGCAGAAGCUAGCUCGACAAGAAGAAUUGCUGACGCUCAAGCUGCCUUCCAAGGCCCCUGGUACCAACGAACGCUACGGCAGCCCCAAGAACAAGGACAUAAUUUUAAACGCCGCCAAAUCAAUCCUGAGUCUUUCAGCCUAUCUUGAUGGCAAAGAGAUUAACCGGUGCACAGGCAUUGUUGUCAAUCGAGAUGAAGAUACGAAAUCUCUUACCAUUCUCACCUCUGCCUGGCUUAUCUGCACAGAGAAACCAUCUAAUGAUUGGCUGGAUAAAGAAUAUGCUCCUCAAGCUAAGGUUAUUGUUCACCUAUUGGAUGGCACAACCGUCGAUAGUCAACUGAUGUACUUUAGCAAACAUUAUGACAUCGCCUUCUGUGAGAUUACGGGAGGUUUACACUUGCAGAGUUUACCAUUGGAAGGUAACUCGGAGUUCAGCAAUGAAACACUUGUGUUAGUUGCUAGGGAUGCAAAUCUAGAUUUAAUCUACAAAGAAGCCAAGCUGGCAUCUGUAGGCCCUUGUGAAUUCCAACACAAUCAUUAUAAGUUCAUCACCUGUUCAAUUCCUAACAAGUGUGGAACUGGAGGUGGACUGUUGGAUUUUAAUGGGAAAAUUGUAGGGUUAGUAUCCUACACAUUUCCUCUUGUUGCGUUUAUUCCAAGCUAUCUUAUAACGAAGUGUUCAACAUUGUUGAGAAAAUUUGGGCUAGACUGA
rnacentral:rRNA from 1 species